ACCCGACUACACGAAGCCGGAAUCGCUAGUAAUCGCGGAUCAGAAUGCCGCGGUGAAUACGUUCCCGGGUCUUGUACACACCGCCCGUCACACCAUGGGAGUCGGAAAUGCCCGAAGUCAGUGACCCAACCGGAAGGAAGGAGCUGCCGAAGGUGGAGCCGGUAACUGGGGUGAAGUCGUAACAAGGUACC
rnacentral:rRNA from 1 species